rnacentral:rRNA from 1 species
GACGAACGCUGGCGGCGUGCCUAAUACAUGCAAGUCGAACGAGAGCGACCGGUGCUUGCACUGGUCAAUCUAGUGGCGAACGGGUGAGUAACACGUGGGUAACCUGCCCAUCAGAGGGGGAUAACAUCCGGAAACGGAUGCUAAAACCGCAUAGGUCUUCGAGCCGCAUGGCUUGAAGAGGAAAAGAGGCGCAAGCUUCUGCUGAUGGAUGGACCCGCGGUGCAUUAGCUAGUUGGUGAGGUAACGGCUCACCAAGGCCGUGAUGCAUAGCCGACCUGAGAGGGUGAUCGGCCACAUUGGGACUGAGACACGGCCCAAACUCCUACGGGAGGCAACAGUAGGGAAUCUUCCGCAAUGGACGCAAGUCUGACGGAGCAACGCCGCGUGAGUGAAGAAGGUUUUCGGAUCGUAAAACUCUGUUGUUAGAGAAGAACAAGUGCUAGAGUAACUGUUAGCGCCUUGACGGUAUCUAACCAGAAAGCCACGGCUAACUACGUG